UGCAGGACAUUUACUGCAAUUGCUUCCUUUAGCGGAAACCACGUGAUUAGGGUCCCACACAUGCUUCCUUUGGCAGCUGGCAUGGUUUCUACUCGCUAAUGUCUGUUUAUUUUUCUCAAUAAUUAUCCUUUUUCCAUUUUUAAAAUGUCAGGCAAACGGGAACUAAAAAUUAACACAAAGUUUGCUCAGAAAUAUGACAAAUACCGACAGAAAGAAGAGCUGCAGAAACUUAAGGCCCGAUUUUGGGACAGAAACAACGGGAGAGACUCGGACUCUUCGGGGUCCAGCUCAGACGACAGUGAAGUGGAGCUGGAUCCCACCGUCGAGAGGGACUUCUACAGGAUCCUGUCGCUGCUGAAGAAAAAAGACCCGAAGAUCUACGAGAAAGACGCCAAGUUCUACUCUGAAAGUGACACUUCUCACAGCGAUGAGAAGCCUUCAACCUCGAAGAAAGCUGCAGUGAAACCCAUGUUCCUCAAGGACUAUGAGCGGGCAGUCAUCCUGGAGAAGGAGGGUCAAACUAGUGCGAGUAACGUCUACGGCUUACCUACUCUCUGAAGUUCUCAUGGGGGACUGAGGAGAAUGCCGCGAAAGAACAGGAAGGGCUGACCCUGAGACAAAAACUUGUUUGGGGGCCAUGCACGCCAAGAGUCAACACCCACAACCGUGGCCUGGGCACAUAGUGGUGCAGAGCCCUCCAGUCACCAGGCUGGAGCUGUCAAUGGGACAGCAACUGUGAUGCUCUGCAUCCUUCCAGUGCAACAACAGCAUCUGCAUCCCUCGCCAGUCUGCCUGCGACGGUUACAACGACUGCCUUGAUGGCUCAGACGAGUGGCCCCAGAGCUGCCACGCCG